UUGGUGUAGUUUGGUGGCUGCCAUCAGCAUUGCUCAAAUGAGACACAUGAUGUCUGGUGAAUGAAGGUUGGAAAUGUGUCAUUUUGCACAGUGCAGUUGUGGGCCUUCUGAUCAUAUGGUUUGGUUUUCAGGUCUACAGCUUGGGUGAAAAGACAGAAAACAAGGCAAAGAAAAGUCAAACAGAAGAAUUUGGGAUCUCAUAUUUUUCAUGCUUGCAGGAGAGAGGAUGGCUGUUUCUGCAUUGUGACAAGAUUCCUCCAAAACUGCGUACAAGGUACUGGCAAGUAUCAGCGCUCUGGUCCCACUGUCUACAGCCUUAUCCAUUUGGCGCCUGCUCCAGCCCUCUCACAUUACCAGCAGUGGGGUCUGUUUUCAGCUGUGAAAAGCUGAAUUGAAGAUGGAAUGAUGGAGGAAGAGAGGAUGGAUGUCUGCUCCUUUUUGCACUCACAGUAACUCCAGGACUUGGCAGGUUGGGGGGCUACACAGCUAGAAAAAGCUGGUAGGUUGUUCCUGCAAGUUUGGUGAAAACAGGCAAUCCCAAAGAAGGGAAACACCAUCAGGGAUAGUGACCAGCCCACUCUGUAGAGAGGUGAUAUGAAGGUCCUAGCCCUGGGAAAGCUUUGUCCAGUCACACAAUGAGGUACCCAGGAACCAGACUAUGAGACAGGCAUUCGUAACAAAACAGGUGGUGUUUACUCUAUUGAUGCUUUCUUUUGAGCUGAAUAUUGCAGGUAAAAAUGUUGAGUCAAAUUGGGAGAAUUUUCAGGGAUGCCCAGGAGGUGGUGUGGAAAAUGACUGUCCUUUAGGGGCCACAUGGAACUGGGGCCCUGCUGCUUAAGUACUUUCUUUUUGGCAAACUCACUCAGAAGAAAAAUACCAUGGAUUAACCAAGCAAAGUGCUAUUUUGCUAUCCUUUUGACAGUGAAAUUGUGGUAUUAAGGCUAAGAAUACAACAUAAAUUUCAAAUAAUUUUGUAACAUAAUUGGGUCUUUUCUGUAU